ACCUUGAUAACAUAUUAAAAGUCAAAAUUGUAAAAGACCAGAACAGAUAGAAGAUUGCAUUCAUAAAUAAAAAGGUAUGUAUAUAUAUAUAUAUAUAUAGUGGUAUAUUCUGAAAGAGGUGUUCGACCUACAUUAUACAUAAAAAGUUUUUCAAAAUGGUUUUCAUUCACUAACAGUGUGCACACUAGUGUGUGUGUGAGUGUGUUAACAGCUGAUAACGUGAUUUUGAGUUUCACUUCAAAAUUAAAUAUAUGAAUAUACGAGCUCACGGGUAUUAAGAAAACAAGUGCUCAGAUACACGGGUAUACACGGGCUUUAACCCCGUCAAUGGUAAAACACAAGUACUCGUGUAGUUCAUUACACAUGAAAUCACGACCCAUAAUUAAUAUCGAAAUUUAUGAAAUGGUUAUUUUUUAAUAGAUGUUAAGCGAAAUUUUUAUUAGGGGCAGUCUUUUUAAAUUUUAUUUCAGAAAUAAAUGGUGUGUAUAAAAUAAAAUGUAGCUGUAAUAAUUUUUAUACAGGUAAGGCAAAAAGAAAUGUUCAAAUAAGAUAUAAAGAACACAUUUACCUGAAAUAAAAUUUAAAAAGACUGCCCAUAAUUCAAAUUUUGCUAAACAUAUUUUAGAAAAUAACCAUACAUUUUGAUAAUAACACAGACUUAGAAAUACUAAAUACCCAAAAUAACAUUUACAUUAAUUCGGAUUUAGAAGAAUUAGACAUUCACGAUGAAAUAAAGCAAAAUAAUUGUAAUAAUAUUUAUAUGUUCAAACCGAUUUUAAAAAUAAUAUUUUAUAUCAAUACAUUUUAGAUAGUAAAUAACAACCAAAUAAUUUAUAUUUCUUAACAUAUCUAUGUCUAUAAUCUCUCCUAUUGAAAUGAAUUAUUUCUAUAUUUUAUGUAAAACGGCCAAUUUAUGUGAUUUUUUUUUUUUUUUUUGUGUAUUCCUUCAUUUAAUUUUAGAUUCCGAGCGUACCGAGGGAGCUAUUGGUUUUACUAAGAUGUUUAUUUUUUUUUUCUACUAGUCUGUAGAUAUGUUUCUUCCUAGUAAAUUUGCUUAAAUUUUUACGUAGGGCAACUUUUCUGAAAGCUCAAUUUGUCUUAAUUGUACUUUAAAAAAAAAAAAUCAUUGUUUUGAUUUUCGAGGCCGUUUUAUAAAUAAAAGCAUUGAAGUGGGAAAAAACGUAGAAAAACUUACAAUUUCACGAUUUCGUUAUUUUAUAAAAACACGGUCAACGUUUUAUACCAGAAAAGAUUAUUUAAUCACAGGACACCUUUUUUGUUGAUUUUUUGAUUUAAUUCUUACGGUAUUAUCGUCAAAACUUUUGAGCCACUUUUGAGUUUUUAAGGAAUUUUAAUUUUUAGGAGUUUUUUGCUGUAAUUUGGUUAUAACACGUAGAGACUUGAACAUUUUUAAUAAUACUUAUAUUGGAUUUAAACCUAAACCUUCUUCAAAUUUUUAAUAACAUUGGACGAAUUUUGUUUUUUGUAAUAAGCGUUUUGAAAUCAAAUUUAAACGAAAAUCGCAAAGAAAAUUACGGCAAUUCGAAUUAUGCAUUACCGAAUUGCGCUCGGAAUCGUCUUUCGUCAAGCAAUGGUUUAUCGUUGCUUACAGAUAUAAAUGAAAUAAUCUUAUGUAUCCUACCUUCCCGACUUCUUUCUUUCAUUCUUACCAAUACUAGUGAACGCUCACAUCCGCAGUAGCAGCUCUUUUUUACAUUUUUACAUUUUGACUGUGAUGUACCUAAUGAUGAAUUUUUAAUUCGAAACCAGUCGUAUAAUAACUUAUCGUAAUACUCCAGGCUUAUUUUCUUAUUUAUUUUGUUUUUAUAAAUAUAUUUUUUAUUUAUAUAUUUAUUUACUUUAAAUAUAUUUCGUACAUUUUCUUGUUUUUCCUAAGAUUUUUUCGGUUUUUUACAUUUGUUGAGAAAUCUCCAGGGAAAAUCGAAAAACGACCUCUUUUCAAGCUACUCCCCAGUAAAAUUCACUUUCAGAAAAAUUGCUACAAUAUAAGAUAAAACAAACUGGUAGAAAAAUUGUCCACAGAAAAUAACCUUAAUAUUAUACAUAUACAUUUCGUACAUUUUCCCGUUUUUUUUUUUCGGUUUUUCUUAAUUGAUGAAAAAAUCUUAAGAAAAUGAACUGUUUGAGGUACCUUCCUACACCGAUUUGAUUUUAGAAAAGGGACUACACAUAAAAAUUGGAGCAAGUCCUCUGGUAGAAAAGUUGUCCACAGAAAAAAAAUCAUAAAUAUUUAAACAUAUUUGUAAAACUAUAAGCUUCUUUGCUCUACUCGGAACCCAAAAUUCGAAGAGUGGAAUUUUAUUUUAGAUGUUUUGUAUUGUAUAUAUUAUGUAUUAUACAAAUAAACCUAACGUGUACUUUACUUAAUUCUAAGUUUGAUCACCCCGUAUACAGAAAACUUUGAAAGAACUUUUGAGAUCAUAAUUUUUGAUUAUAGGUAUGGUAGCGGAUUUUAAUGUUUGUAGCACAUAAUAUCACCGGGAAAGAUAUUGUUCAUUAAUCGAGUCAAAUGUCUAAAACAUCUGAUGUCGAUUUUUAAAACGUAUAUAUGUCCAGCAUUGAAUUUCCAGUUGAUAAUGAACACACAAUUU